rnacentral:tmRNA from 1 species
CCCCUUUCCUUUUGCAGCCUGCCGUCCUAUAUCGGCGUUGUCGGCUUCGGUCGGCUAUGGCGAUAAACUGCGGCGUGCAAUAGGCGCAGCGGACCCGGGGGCGGUACCCGGCGGCUCCACCACUUUCCUUGUUUCGGCCUAUGGCCGCACAAGGGAAAUGACGGGGUCGAACUAGGAUCGACGUGUGUUGAAAAGCGCUGUUUUCGCCCGGGCUGAGUAACCCGUUCAAGGCUCAAAACUCACAAGUGCCAACGACAACGAAGCACUUGCUCUCGCUGCGUAACCUGACGGCCUAACGGCCUGAUCUUACAAAGCGACAGCACGGUUCGGACCGAACCGGGUAACAGAAUCGGAAACC